CAACAUGUUCGCUUGCAUCAGAAACAGAGAAAUAUGGGUAAGCAGACAUGGCUCUACCAGUUAACACUUAACACCACAAGCUUAUGUAGGAACAGGAAGCACCGAGAGCUUAGAUUCAGGCUACAGUAUGGGUUACAAAAUUUUCCAGCAGAUCCAGCUGUGAUGGAAGCUCUUUUACUGUGCUUGAGGAGACACUAGGGCACCAGCCAAAUGGAUGCGUUCAUCCACAGGUUCGCAAGGCUGAAAAUUUUGCAGCGACGGCGCCGACUAAGCAGGUUGAGCACGGUGAGUAGUUCUCGCCUCACCUCGCCGCAUCUACCAAUGUUGAUGCAGCCAGUUUGCUUGCACCCUGCGUUAGACCAUUCAUCGCCUGCUGCAUGCACUUCUUCUCUCCAUCAACCAACUGCCCUCCCGAUAUGAAGCUAAUUAAUCUCAGAAUUCCGAUGCUAUUAGGGUAGCUGCAGUAUGCAGGAUGUGUUUCGCUAUUUUGGAUAAGCAAAGCGCUGG
rnacentral:lncRNA from 1 species